GCAUAUCAAUAAGCGGAGGAAAAGAAACCAACAGGGAUUGCCCCAGUAACGGCGAGUGAAGCGGCAACAGCUCAAAUUUGAAAUCUGGCCCCUCGGGCCCGAGUUGUAAUUUGUAGAGGAUGCUUUUGGCAAGGUGCCGCCCGAGUUCCCUGGAACGGGACGCCGCAGAGGGUGAGAGCCCCGUCUGGCUGGCCACCGAGCCUCUGUAAAGCUCCUUCGACGAGUCGAGUAGUUUGGGAAUGCUGCUCAAAAUGGGAGGUAUAUGUCUUCUAAAGCUAAAUAUUGGCCAGAGACCGAUAGCGCACAAGUAGAGUGAUCGAAAGAUGAAAAGCACUUUGAAAAGAGGGUUAAACAGUACGUGAAAUUGUUGAAAGGGAAGCGCUCAUGACCAGACUUGGGCUUGGCGGAUCAUCCGGCGUUCUCGCCGGUGCACUCCGCCUCGUCCAGGCCAGCAUCAGCUCGCGCCGGGGGACAAAGGCUUCGGGAAUGUGGCUCCUCCGGGAGUGUUAUAGCCCGUUGCGUAAUACCCUGGGGCGGGCUGAGGUUCGCGCAUCUGCAAGGAUGCUGGCGUAAUGGUCAUCAGCGACCCGUCUUGAA
rnacentral:rRNA from 1 species